rnacentral:rRNA from 1 species
UACGGAAGGCAGCAGUGAGGAAUAUUGGUCAAUGGGCGCAAGCCUGAACCAGCCAUGCCGCGUGCAGGAAGACGGUCCUAUGGAUUGUAAACUGCUUUUAUUAGGGAAUAAACCUUUCUACGUGUAGAAAGCUGAAGGUACCUAAUGAAUAAGCACCGGCUAACUCCAUGCCAGCAGCCGCGGUAAUACGGAGGGUGCAAGCGUUAUCCGGAAUCAUUGGGUUUAAAGGGUCCGCAGGCGGAUUUUAUAAGUCAGUGGUGAAAGCCCGUCGCUCAACGACGGAACUGCCAUUGAUACUGUAAGUCUUGAAUUCGGUCGAAGUGGCGGAAUAUGCAUGUAGCGGUGAAAUGCUUAGAUAUGUCAUAGAACACCGAUAGCGAAGGCAGCUCACUAGGCCUGGGAUUGACGCUCAGGGACGAAAGCGUGGGGAGCAAACAGGGAUUAGAAUAACC